rnacentral:rRNA from 1 species
UACGGAAGGCAGCAGUGGGGAAUAUUGCACAAUGGGCGCAAGCCUGAUGCAGCCAUGCCGCGUGUAUGAAGAAGGCCUUCGGGUUGUAAAGUACUUUCAGUCGUGAGGAAGGUGUUAAGGUUAAUAACCUUAGCAAUUGACGUUAGCGACAGAAGAAGCACCGGCUAACUCCGUGCCAGCAGCCGCGGUAAUACGGAGGGUGCGAGCGUUAAUCGGAAUUACUGGGCGUAAAGGGCACGCAGGCGGUUAAUUAAGUUGGAUGUGAAUCCCCGGGCUUAACCUGGGAAUGGCAUUCAAGACUGGUUAGCUAGAGUCUUGUAGAGGGGGUAGAAUUCCAUGUGUAGCGGUGAAAUGCGUAGAGAUGUGGAGGAAUACCGGUGGCGAAGGCGGCCCCUGGGACAAAGACUGACGCUCAUGUGCGAAAGCGUGGGGAGCAAACGAGGAUUAGAUACC